AGUGCAGUCCCUGUCAGAGGGUGUUCCAGAAGGAUCCGGACAGCGAAAGGUAAAAACAUACCACAUUAGGGCAGAAAAAAGCCAAGAUAAGUGAUGGGGUAUCUACAUGUGCUUCCUCAAGCCCUAUAAGAAGAGGUUCUUCACCCUCGUGGGAAAGGAUCGUGACUGCUGCUGUGAUGAUGUUGACACCUCCAUGUCUCAGCAAUUAACUCCUGCAGGCAUCAGUGCCCUCUGUGUAGUUUCUGACAUGAAGAGACCAGCUGUUCAAGAUAUCACUCCUCCACCUCUGAGAAAUAAGCCACAGCUCCCUGGGUAAGGUACACACAGCAUGUCUCAGCCUCUGGGAUCUCCGGACUGAAACUCUAAGAUUAACAGGCUUCACAUUCUCUCUCUACUCCAGCUGAGGACACUAUGUGGUGGGAAGAAAGAGAGGAAGAAGAAGACUUUCUGAAGGCACAUUGAUGGAAUGGGUGUCAUUUCCUUGUAAAUAUAUUUUCACGUUUGUAAAAUAAAAUAAAUAACUAUGGGUACUGGAGAUCUGAAACAAAAACAGAAGUUGUAGAGAAACACAUCAGAUCUGGCAGCAGUUUGGGAAUGAGGCAGAGUUAAUGUUUUGAGUCAAUUCUGAUGAAGAAUUGUUAGCUCUGCUUUCUUCACAUUUGUAAAUAAAUGUUCAUUUUUCUUCAUCAGCUUUGCGAAUGAAAGUUAUUUAAAGUGCAGCUACAAGAAUGAAGGUACGGAAGCUAGUCAUCCUGAGUACCACAUAAUGUUGAAACUCAGUUUGAGUGACAGUUCUCAUUUCUGUAGUGUCCAUGCUAGCCUGGAACUUUGUCGGGAUUGAAUGACAGACCAUCAGAUGUUUUGAAGACUUCCAUCCAUUUGUAACCUUAACUUUAAUUGAAUGGCAUGAACUGCAUAGAACAAACAAAUUCAAGCAGUGUCCUCUGGAUGGUAACAGUACAAAGUCCUAGACAUGACUUGCAUGGAAACCUGAUAUUUAAGGGCGAUUCUGUGUCUUUCAUUGGCCCCAGUGGAAGGAGAUAUCACAUUGCAGAUACACUGGACAACAUGACAUGGGUUUCUGAAUUCCAACUCUGGACAAUGUAUAAUGCCACUGCCCCUUUCUCAUCUACAUGGCAUUCUGUGGAAGAUAAGGGACUGUGGCUGCUCUGCGUCAUCACUGUAAGACUAGGACACCUAUGACAGCAAACUCUGCUGUAGCGAAUUACUCCACAUCUACUGGAGAUUUAAUAUUGCACCUGGAUUUCCAGUCCUUGUUCAUAUGUGUAGCAGCCCUUAGAGUAGUGACCAUGUGGACAACCACAGCUUAUGUGCCUGAUUCAUUUGGGCCAGUUCCAAUGAGCAUCUGUAACCAAUGCCAGAAAUAAAGGAACUGUUCAAUAAUGUAAGAUUUAAAAUAACAUCCUCCACCAACUGAGACUUGGAGGGUCCCAACAAGCAGGCCAGUGGAGUGCCAGUACGUGAAUGUUGAACAUCAUUGUUUUAAUUCUGACAUCUGUUGAUCAAACCUUUAUGUACACAUACAGUAGGAGGUUGUACGUCUGGCAGAAAUUGCCACAGUUCCCCCUGGAGGCUUCCUGCCUCUAUUCCUGAUGAAGGGCUUUAGCUCGAAAAAUUGAUUUUCCUGCUCCUCAGAUGCUGCCUGAUCUGCUGUGCUUUUCCAGCACUGCUCUGAUCUCAACUCUGGUUUCCAGCAUUUGCAGU